rnacentral:rRNA from 1 species
AUUGAACGCUGGCGGCAGGCCUAACACAUGCAAGUCGAACGAGUGGCGGACGGGUGAGUAAUGUCUGGGAAACUGCCUGAUGGAGGGGGAUAACUACUGGAAACGGUAGCUAAUACCGCAUACCAUCGGAUGUGCCCAGAUGGGAUUAGCUAGUAGGUGGGGUAAUGGCUCACCUAGGCGACGAUCCCUAGCUGGUCUGAGAGGAUGACCAGCAAACAGGGACCGGAGACACGGUCCAGACUCCUAGGGGGGGAAGCAGUGGGGAAAAUGGAAAAAGGGGGGAAAGCCUGAGGCAGCCAGGCCGGGUGUGGGAAGAAGGCCUUGGGGUUGUAAAGCACUUUCAGCGGGGAGGCGUUACCCGCAGAAGAAGCACCGGCUAACUCCGUGCAAGCAGCCGCGGUAUAC